GUGGGGAAUCUUGCGCAAUGGGCGAAAGCCUGACGCAGCCAUGCCGCGUGAAUGAUGAAGGUCUUAGGAUUGUAAAAUUCUUUCGCCGGGGACGAUAAUGACGGUACCCGGAGAAGAAGCCCCGGCUAACUUCGUGCCAGCAGCCGCGGUAAUACGAAGGGGGCUAGCGUUGCUCGGAAUUACUGGGCGUAAAGGGCGCGUAGGCGGACAGUUUAGUCAGAGGUGAAAGCCCAGGGCUCAACCUUGGAAUUGCCUUUGAUACUGGCUGUCUUGAGUACGGGAGAGGUGAGUGGAACUCCGAGUGUAGAGGUGAAAUUCGUAGAUAUUCGGAAGAACACCAGUGGCGAAGGCGACUCACUGGCCCGUUACUGACGCUGAGGCACGAAAGCGUGGGGAGCAAACAGGAUUAGAAACCCCGGUAGUCC
rnacentral:rRNA from 1 species